GGGGAUAUAUCUCAGUUGGAAGAGUGCUUGCCUAGCAUGCAGAAGCCCUGGGUUCAAUCCCAGCACCAUCA
rnacentral:tRNA from 1 species